rnacentral:rRNA from 1 species
GACGGAGGAUGCAAGUGUUAUCCGGAAUCACUGGGCGUAAAGCGUCUGUAGGUGGUUUAAUAAGUCAACUGUUAAAUCUUGAGGCUCAACCUCAAAAUCGCAGUCGAAACUAUUAGGCUAGAGUAUAGUAGGGGUAAAGGGAAUUUCCAGUGGAGCGGUGAAAUGCGUAGAGAUUGGAAAGAACACCGAUGGCGAAGGCACUUUACUGGGCCAUGACUGACACUGAGAGACGAAAGCUAGGGGAGCAAAUGGG